UACGUAGGGGGCAAGCGUUGUCCGGAAUCAUUGGGCGUAAAGAGCGUGUAGGCGGUUCGGUAAGUCGGCUGUGAAAGUCCAGGGCUCAACCCUGGGAUGCCGGUCGAUACUGCCGGACUAGAGUUCGGAAGAGGCGAGUGGAAUUCCCGGUGUAGCGGUGAAAUGCGCAGAUAUCGGGAGGAGCACCUAUGGCGAAGGCAGCUCGCUGGGACGUUACUGACGCUGAGACGCGAAAGCGUGGGGAGCAAACAGG
rnacentral:rRNA from 1 species